UUAAGAACAACCUAGAUCGCCCAUUUCAUCCAAAGAACAAUCCACAAGCAAGAUCCACAAACACAACUACGUAUAUAAAAAGAUAAAAGAUGGAAACAAGAUAACACUUGUUCAGUGAAAAGAAUCACACAAGAGUAACCUAAUGUGCAAGCCUAUUGCAUCACAGAUCAAAUUCAGUUGUAUAACCUUACCUUACAUUGCUGACAAUGGCAAAUGAAGCCAAAGGCAGCAACAACAACUAGAAAGAGGAAGCAAAUCAAGAACGGCUAGAAGCUGCAGUGUCGACACACUUAAACAAAAACGACAACGAUAGUAACAGGCGUGGACGAGGGCAUGGGUGAUUGUUGGCGGCGGCAAUGGCUAUAUCAUGGGCGUGUGUGCGUAUGAGUGAAUGUGUAUGUCAUUCUCUCUCUCUUUCACGAUUGAGAAGAUGAAGUCAAGAAAUUAAGAAAGGAGAAUUAGGGAUUGUGUAUGUUUUGGUCUUUUGCCAUAUAUAUUUUACACACACACACACAGAAACAUAUCUUAUAUUUUCAUUGCUAUAAAAUUUAAUUCCAAUCUACAAUCCGCGAUGAAGAGAUUCGUU
rnacentral:lncRNA from 1 species